UACGAAGGGGGCUAUCGUUGUUCGGAAUCACUGGGCGUAAAGCGCACGUAGGCGGAUGUUUAAGUCAGAGGUGAAAGCCCCGGGCUCAACCCCGGAACUUCCUUUGAUACUGCACAUCUCGAGUCCGGAAGAGGUGAGUGGAAUUCCUAGUGUAGAGGUGAAAUUCGUAGAUAUUAGGAAGAACACCAGUGGCGAAGGCGGCUCACUGGUCCGGUACUGACGCUGAGGUGCGAAAGCGUGGGGAGAAAACAGG
rnacentral:rRNA from 1 species